rnacentral:rRNA from 1 species
UCAAGCCUGUAGUCGUGCCUGGUAGGCAAAUCCGCCGGGCUGAGAUGAGGGGUGAUAACGAGGGUGCUUGCACCUGAAGUGAGUGAUACCCUGCUUCCAGGAAAAGCCACUAAGCUUCAGCUAUUGACGACCGUACCGCAAACCGACACUGGUGCGCGAGAUGAGUAUUCUAAGGCGCUUGAGAGAACUCAGGAGAAGGAACUCGGCAAAUUGAUACCGUAACUUCGGGAGAAGGUAUGCCCUGAUUAGGUGAACUUGUACAAAGGGAGCCGAAAGGGGUUGCAAAAAAUCGGUGGCUGCGACUGUUUAAUAAAAACACAGCACUCUGCAAACACGAAAGUGGACGUAUAGGGUGUGACGCCUGCCCGGUGCUGGAAGAUUAAAUGAUGGGGUGCAAGCUCUUGAUUGAAGUCCCAGUAAACGGCGGCCGUAACCAUAACGGUCCUAAGGUAGCGAAAUUCCUUGUCGGGUAAGUUCCGACCUGCACGAAUGGCGUAACGAUGGCCACACUGUCUCCUCCUGAGACUCAGCGAAGUUGAAAUGUUUGUGAUGAUGCAAUCUCCCCGCGGAAAGACGGAAAGACCCCAUGAACCUUUACUGUAGCUUUGUAUUGACUUUGAACGGAUCUGUGUAGGAUAGGUGGGAGGCUUUGAAGGGUGGUCGCUAGAUCACCUGGAGCCAACGUUGAAAUACCACCUUGGUGCGUUUGAGGUUCUAACCCAGGUCCCUUAUCGGGAUCGGGGACAGUGCAUGGUAGGCAGUUUGACUGGGGCGGUCUCCUCCCAAAGUGUAACGGAGGAGUUCGAAGGUACGCUAGUUACGGUCGGACAUCGUGACGAUAGUGCAAUGGCAUAAGCGUGCUUAACUGCGAGACUGACAAGUCGAGCAGAUGCGAAAGCAGGACAUAGUGAUCCGGUGGUUCUGUAUGGAAGGGCCAUCGCUCAACGGAUAAAAGGUACUCUGGGGAUAACAGGCUGAUACCGCCCAAGAGUUCAUAUCGACGGCGGUGUUUGGCACCUCGAUGUCGGCUCAUCUCAUCCUGGGGCUGUAGUCGGUCCCAAGGGUAUGGCUGUUCGCCAUUUAAAGAGGUACGUGAGCUGGGUUUAAAACGUCGUGAGACAGUUUUGUCCCUAUCUUCCGUGGGCGCUGCAGAUUUGAGGAAGCCUGCUCCUAGUACGAGAGGACCGGAGUGGACACACCUCUGGUGUAUCGGUUGUCACGCCAGUGGCAUUGCCGAGUAGCUAAGUGUGGAAGAGAUAACCGCUGAAAGCAUCUAAGCGGGAAACUCGUUUCAAGAUGAGAUCUGCCGGGGCCUU